rnacentral:misc_RNA from 1 species
GUGAAUCAUCAAAUUUUUGAACGCAAAUUGCACUCCCUGGUAUUCCGGAGCGUAUGCCUGUUUGAGGAUCAGUUUAAAUAAAAAUCGGUGUGAUUGCUGCAUUUCGUGGUGGCGCGGCGGAUUUGGGUCGUCUUGACUUGGGUUAAGUGACCUAGACUUGUGCAUGAUGUUUUCGAACGUAUUUAAA